AUGGGACUUUAUAAAAAUGGAUCCCACCAGCUGUGCAUCUGCCGAACUGACAUUCAGCUCUCCAAACUGCACUUUUUCAAAAAGAUUCAGCUACCAAAUGACGUACUCUGGAACAGAUCCCCAGUCUGUAGUGAAACAAGGCUGAAGACGCUCAGCAGAACAAGAGCACUCCCCCAGCAAAGUGGAGGUUUGCUGAAGUUUCUUCCUGGUUUAAGGAUUAAGAAAAUGGUGUCCAUUCCCUACCUCUCACCACACCCACAGCUGGAAAUUGCUCAGGAUGUCUGUAAUAAAGAAACCUGGAGAAAAUGA
rnacentral:lncRNA from 1 species